rnacentral:rRNA from 1 species
UACGAAGGGGGCUAGCGUUGUUCGGAUUUACUGGGCGUAAAGCGCACGUAGGCGGAUCGUUAAGUCGGGGGUGAAAUCCUGGAGCUCAACUCCAGAACUGCCUUCGAUACUGGCGAUCUUGAGUCCGGAAGAGGUGAGUGGAAUUCCUAGUGUAGAGGUGGAAUUCGUAGAUAUUAGGAAGAACACCAGUGGCGAAGGCGGCUCACUGGUCCGGUACUGACGCUGAGGUGCGAAAGCGUGGGGGAGCAAACAGG